UACAGAGGUCCCGAGCGUUGUUCGGAUUCAUUGGGCGUAAAGGGUGCGUAGGCGGGUCUUUAAGUCAGGGGUGAAAUCCUGGAGCUCAACUCCAGAACUGCCUUUGAUACUGGGAAUCUUCGAGUCCGGGAGAGGUGAGUGGAACUGCGAGUGUAGAGGUGAAAUUCGUAGAUAUUCGCAAGAACACCAGUGGCGAAGGCGGCUCACUGGCCCGGUACUGACGCUGAGGUGCGAAAGCGUGGGGAGCAAACAGGAGUUA
rnacentral:rRNA from 1 species